GCUGGUGUAGCUCAGUUGGUAGAGCAACUGAUUCGUAAUCAGUAGGUCGGAGGUUCGAUUCCUCUCACCAGCACCA
rnacentral:tRNA from 1 species